UCCUGUAUCGAAAGUGAUCGUGGCGUGUUUGUCGCCAGCUCAUCGAUAAUACAGGAACAUCAAGCUGAGAGCCUUUCCCGUGUUUAAAGGACUUCCUGUUCCUUCUGAACCCUGGCGCUCUCAGACA
rnacentral:snoRNA from 1 species